CAACAUGAUUUGAUACAUAGUCCAUUUCUUAUUGUACAGCACAUAUACUAAAAAGUUGCCCCAAGGAAAACUGACUUUUCUUUCAGAGAUUGCAAACUGAAGACAGGAUGGCAGGAGCUUCAGCAGCUGCUUUGGAUUCUGAGCUGAAAUGAGGAUGGAGGUCAAAGGCUCAACAUGGUGAAGAAAAAAUACAGAAGAAACUUAAAUUUCUGAUGAGAGAUUUCAUGGUGCUAUUAUCUCAGCUCUAGACUGUCUCCUGUAGACUUCUUUUAUGAGAGAAAAAUCAAACUUUACCUUGUUCAAGCCAUUUCUACUAAACAUACCAUACUUUUAAUAAAACUGGGAGUAUGAGAAUUAGUUCAAUAAAAUUCUCUUCAGUGAACACUUUUCUUCGCUUUGGAACAGGUACUGUUUUAGGUCAGUUCUUAGAAAACAAUGUUUGAGAUAGAGAUUUGCACUCAGAAUUUUUAUAGGAAGGCUCUUGAGAACGAUCCCCCACAAGAAAGCAAAGGAACUAGGAUUGGGCAGAGAGAGAAGCUGAGAUGCAAAGCAGCUGUGGGAGAGAGCUCAGCUGAUUUUACCAGAGUUUCUGAAGCUGAGCUGGUUUUCCAGAGGUUAUCCUGUAUCAGGACCAGGAGGUACACAUAUAGAAAUGUAUCAGCCUUCUAGGUGGCACAGUGGUAAAGAACCCGCUCACCAGUGCAGGAGACAGAAGAGAUGGGGUUCAGUCCCUGGGUCGGGAAGAUCCCCUGGAGAAGGAAAUGGCAACCCGCUCCAGUAUUCUCACCUGGAAAAUUCCAUGGACGGAGGAGGCUGCAAAAACUCCUAUAUAUCCUGGCUCCUCUUUUACCUUUUUGGAUCACAGCAAUCUGAGAGGCUGUCUCUCGGUCUACAGUUCUCAAUAAGGUCCUCAAAUAAAACAUAACUCUUAGCUUUUAGGCUGUGGAUUUUUGUUUUCUUUAGUUGACAGUUUUGGUGACCAAUGAAAGAACCCAGAACAAGCUUCUCUCCUUCACUUGAACUCUAUUAGAAUUUGGAGCCUUGGUACCGGCAGAGAGGCCUCCUUGGAGAGUUCAGACGAAUUUGGGUCAGUCUCUUCUGGGUCUCGGAUCUGCCAUUAUUGACUGAUGAUCCUAAGUUUUAUUUAGUGGUGUUAAGCUCCUUGCUACAGGAGUACAUUUUCCUUGAAACUUAGUUUCAAGAAGCAGCACCUAAGUUAUCCUUAGUUGAAAGACACUGGGAGGAUUUACUAUAUAUG
ensembl:lncRNA